AGCAGGUUCGAGUCGAACGAAGUGAGACAACGUUGCGUUAGCAACGGCCCGAAGGGCGAGGCACAGCCGAGUCAUCCCGCACGACCCACCA
rnacentral:sRNA from 1 species